GAAAGCUCAGGGAACCCUUAACCAAUUUCUUGUCCACCAGGCCACGGCAGAAGCAGAUAUGGGAGUGUGGGGGGGCCACAGCCCCGUCCUCCAGGGUGUGAAGCGGGUAUGGAGGAGAUCAAAACUCCAGACAUCCAGAGGCCCCCAGAACACAAGAGACCAUGGAAGACCAACAGAGGGGCAGCCGCGCCACUGUUCCAGUAAGAGCUGAGGAGAGUCCUAGAUCACCAUCCUUCCAGACCAUCUCCGAGGCAAGCUUUCCCAGAUGAAUGUGCCUGAUCCCAUCUGCCGGUGGAUCACUGACUUCCUGACGGACAGGAAGCAGCACGUGAGGCUGGGGAAGAAUGUCUUGGACUCCCGGACCAUCAGCACCAUCAGAGUGGAUUAUAACACAGAAGCAACAUUACUGAGGGGCUCGCCCAGCAGCCGCGGAGCAGAAGUCAGGGGGAGUUGCAGUGACGCGCCCGUGAGCUCCGCCGGCCCCCAGCUGUGCCUGAGUGACCGAGCCCCAGGCCGAGAGGCCGGGGGCACCCCACCUCCAAAGGGGCCCGAGCGAGCCCCAGGCCCCAG
ensembl:lncRNA